rnacentral:snRNA from 1 species
GUGCUUGCUUCGGCAGCACAUAUACUAAAAUUAGA